rnacentral:rRNA from 1 species
AAUGAACGCUGGCGGCAGGCCUAACACAUGCAAGUCGAGCGAAAGCACAAUGAGCUUUCUCCCCUACCGUUGGCGAGUGACGGGUGGGUAACACGUAGAUAGCCUUCUAAUUUUUCGUGGGUGAUUACGUAGAGAAGCUUCCACUACUGCCGAAUAUGUCCAACGGCUGAAAGCAGGAGUUCUUGAGGACUUGCCUGUCUCAAUUAGACGGUGCCGGAUUAGCUAGUUGGCUAGGUAAGGGCCCACCAAGGCAACGAUCCGUAGCUGAUCUGAGAGGAUGAUCAGCCACACUGGAACUGAGACACGGUCCAGACUCCUACGGGAGGCAGCAGUGGGGAAUAUUGGGCAAUGGGCGCAAGCCUGACGCAGCCAUGCCGCGUGGGUGAAGAAGGUCUUCGGGUUGUAAAGCUCUGUUGUUGGGAAAGAAAAACAGCGGAUGUAUACCCCGCUGUUCUGACGGUACCUAAAGAGAAAGCACCGGCUAACUUCGUG